rnacentral:lncRNA from 1 species
AACCCCAGACUGAGGCUCUUUUCAAAACAGUCUCUGUGCCAAAUGCUUUCACCAUUGUGUUUAUCUCUGGCUGCAAAGAGCUUCACCCCAGUGGGAUCUUAGAGGCUUCACGGGCACACAUAAGCUCUCUCAGCUCCCAGGGUCCGGGAUCCAGGCACAGCUUAGCUGACUCCUCUGCUUCAGGCUGCAAAGCCACGCUUCGAAAAGCUGCGUCUGAAGACCUGACUCAUCUUCCUGGACGUUGGUUCCGUCCGUAGCCGUCAACCUGGAAGGCAGGCGGGUCCACCCCCAGGGGGCAGGCAGCUGAGCAGGAACCAACCAAGAUGGCAGCAUAUGGGCCAAGUUGGGCCGGCUUGAAGAGGAAGAUGUCACAGCCCCAAACAAAACACAAAGAGGCGUUGUGGAAAACGGCCACGGGAGAAGCUCAGAUCUGAGGCACAGUCAGAGGUGUGCCAGACACAAAGGCGGGACCCUUCCCAAGAAGCUGCUCGAAACAAUGCCAUCCCUGUGGCCAACCCAGCUGGACGUCGACCAGGACGAAAGAACGGGAUGGGGGGAGGGGAGCGGGGCUGCAAAGGGAUAAGUCCUCCUGCAAUAGAAAUUCCUACACCAUGUGGCAGUUUAAAUAGGAGAAAAACACAGCCUGUUGGGAGAAAAUUGGACGAGAGGAAUGAAAAGCCAAAACAACGCCCAGGGUGAACAAAAUGCCUCUACAGGAGGCACUGAAGCGCUUUGAAAUCAGACCCGUCCUCGGCAAAAAUCACAUUUUCUAUUUUUUGUUUAAGUGCAGAAGGCAAAUACACAGAUUGCUCCCGCGUGAAGGAAAAACACGAACAGACCGUAGCAGAGAAUUUCACGUCUCUCAAAUUUUUUCAGUAAAUGCUAUUCCCGGCUUUCUAUCACAAAGGUUUUAAAAGUUGAAUUUUGAUUGCAUUCAAUGGUUAAUACACUAAAAUAGAAAAAAAAUAAAAUAAAAAAAGGUAAUGCA